CCUUCCGCGUCUUCGUCCAUGUCCUGCUAUAACUGUCCUGCGUGGUCUGUAUCCCACUAUUUUUCUAAUACAGGGCUUCAUCAUAAAGAGAAAGCACUUCCACUCCACGCAUUCAACUCACAGUAAGCAGAGAAAAAAAGGUCAACAUCUGGACUUUGUCUUCUUUCCCUUACUAACCAUUACAGGAUUAUUUCAGAAGGUAGUCAGGCUGUAACUUGUAUUUAUUUUACUUUUAGCCGAUGGAAGGGAAACAGGAUCUGCGAUCAGUUGCAGGCCUUGGAAACUGCCUGGAGGCCUGGGAUUUCCCUCCAGGUGCUCUAGAGGUGACCCAGUCUUGCCUGCUACUGGAGCUCUGUAUGACAGUGGUCACAGGUUCCAGAUUUACCUGUGCUCAUUUCCUCCACCUGUAAAUGGAGAGUCACAAUUAUUGCUUAUUUCCAGAAGAAGACACAGAGAAAAUAACCUCAGAGUAUCUUAUGCCCAGUGAGAAGCACUGCUGCUGGUCAUACAAAGCAAUGGGCAUUGACUCAGUACCUAACCUUCUGUCCUAAAUGCAGGUGUUACAAUAAACAAAUGUUAGUCUUGAACGGUGGGUCAGUAUUACGGCAAACAGUAAAAAGUAGGCGGGGCUUGAAAAGAGCUCCCACUCUUUCUACAGUUAGGGAAGUUUGUAGAAAGAAAUGUUUCUGCAGGCUUGCUUUGGCAUUUAAUUACAUUAGCAUACAGCUGCUCCUGGAUGAAGCCGAGUGAAGAGAAUGCUGACCUGAUUCGGCCAUCCCCUCCCUACAUUCUCUGCUUUCCCUCCCUGGGGUAUCUUUGGAAUUAAACUCCAUAAUAAACCUGGUUCUGGUUUAGCUGCAAAACCAGCAGAAGGGUUGUAAAAUUAAAGAAUGCUGAGUUUUCAAUUCAGGGUUCAUUCAUUCAUUAAAAAAAAAAAAAUGUAUUGUGCCCCUGCCAUGUAUAUGGAAAAUUGAAAUGCAAACAUAAAUUAGGCCUUCCAGGGGUGGGGGACUACCAUUUUAGCGAUGACAAACUCAUUAAGCAACAAUUUCUGUGAUUAAAUUUUCAAUUACAAUUGUAAUAAGAGCCUGGAAGGAGAAGAACCAGGUGGUGUGAGAAGAUUGGAAUCCUGACUCAGUCUGUCCCAUCAAGGUGAACUUUCAGCUCAGUUCUGAAAGACAGGUAGGGUUUAGUGCGUGAGGGGGGUUGGGGUGCAUUUUAGGCAGAGGGAGCAGCAGGGUGUCCCUGUGCUGAGGCAGGAGGAACCUGGUGUAGCCAAGACAAAGAGCAGUGGCUGGGGUGCCCCAGAAGGCUCCCCAGUGAGCAACAAGACCCAUGGCCCAGGGUGUCCGCUGUUUUCCCCAGCAGGGCUGACUAUUACUGAGAGUGUUCCUCUCCAUUCAUUUACCGGACCCUUCCAUACUUAGCUCCAACCUGAUAUGUGAGUCCCACAAAAUCUGUGGCUUUCUAGGGGCCGUUAGCAGAUGAUACACCCAUUUCUCUAUUCCUGUCUGGAAGGUCCCUGUGCUGAGUCAUCUACUGCAGUAGCAGGCAAGGAGCAAGCAGGGGACAGAAAGCAUUCUCCUGUUGUUUGCUUUGGGAGAUUGCAAGCACCAUGGUGAAAACCUACCCUCAUUGUGACCUAAAGUGUUGAAUGAGGGAUUAACAAACGUGGCUACUACCCGGGUCGGAGGCCACUGCCUCUCUCAUCUUCACUGAGCAUUACAAAAGCAAACAACACUUAGCUUAUUAGGUGUGAUUUAAUUCACUCUGAAUUAAACCAGGAAGCAUUACUAAUCUGUCUUAAUGAAGCUGUGUUAGUCACAUGAUGAUGGUUAAAAAAAAGAAAAAGGCCAUUUGAGGGGACACUUCUCUAAACCUGGUACCAGGAAGCAAGAAAGGUCAUUUUCCACUCUCCUUCAGAAUGGUUUAAACUGGAAUGACAGUUGAGAGGAGACCCUAAGAGAGAUGUAGAAGGCUUUAAACAUGCAGUUGUAUGGACCAUUGCAGUUUGAGAGUUGUUAUGCUAUUAAUAGGAAGACAAGGCACCUUCCUCCUGAAUGAAGUUAGAUGCAGUCUCGUCAGGUUUAUGCUACACUUCUGACAGCUAGGUUUCCCACGCAUGAUAAAUAAUGAUACCUCUGGGGAACACAGGAAACUAGAUAAGGCUACUCAUUACUACAAAUUGGUCACGGACUGGGUAGUAUUAACCUCACAUUGCUUAUGUCUUUCUGACUGCUGCCGGUGGAAGUCUCACGCUCGCCACGAGUCAGACCAAAUAAUUAGCAGAUGUCACCAAUGCCAAUCUGCUGAUGUUUAAAAAUGGAAUGAGUGAAUCAGCAAACUCUUUAGGAAGGGAGAAGCCAAGGCUUGGAGAAACUAAGUGACUUUCAAACAGGAGCAUAUCUAAGAAACCAUGAAACAAACCCUUGAACCUGGCCUGUCCGAGCCCAGUGCUUCACAUACUCCUACUAGGUUAGUCUGCGGCACUGCUCCGUGGAAAGCUGGGGUUCCUGCUCCUCACCCUAACCCUUCAACGUGGCCUUCAUUGUCUCCUAGUCACAGACAAGAAACUCAGGAGUAAGAGAAGUUCAGUGCCUCGCCACAGUUCACAAAGGACUGAACAAGUUGGGAGACUUGCCCCAGGGCCCAGAGUUUCUGAUUUGCAAACUGGGAAAAGGAGGGUGCCUGUCUCUACAUUCUCAGGGUCACGCAGCUGGUGAGUGGCACAGCCAGAAGGCAACUCAGGGCUGAAUGUGGCUGGAGAAGAGUAACAACUGUGUUGACUGGCUUCACUUUACAUUCCUGACCCUUAAUCUCAAGUGGGCACUUCACACUGCCCGGCACUCAUACCGGGACUCUAACUCAGUCAUCCUCUUACUGAUGGAGAGUUCUCCAGAGAAACAGUACCAGUAGGAUUUGUAUGGAUAUAGAGGAAAAGAUUUAUUAUGAGUGGUUGGCUUACACAAUUAUGGAGCUUAAAUAGUUCCUUGGUCUGCCAUCUGCAAGCUGGAGGCCCAGGGAAGCUGGUGGUGUAAGCCCAGUCCAAGCCCAAAGGCCUGAGAACCAGAGGAAUCAAUGGUGUAAAUCCCAGUCUGAGUCUGAAGGUCCAAGAACCAGGAGCUCUGAUUCCUGAGACAAGAGAAGAUGGAUGGCCCAGCUCAAGCAAAGAGAAAGCAAAUUUACCCUUCCUCUGCCAUUUUGUUUUAUUCAGGCCCUCAUUGGAUUGGAUGAUGCCCACUCACACUGAUGUGGGUGAUCUUUACUGAGUCUACGGAUUCAAAUGCUAAUCUUUUCUGGAGACAUCCUCACAGACACACACCCCAAAUUAACAUUUUAUCAUCUAUCUGGAUAUCCCUUAGCCCAGUCAAAUUAACACAUAAAAUUAACCAUCUCUCUCUCUCUCUAGAUAUAGAUACAGAUACUCAUAUUUGUUUGUUUCUGGGCUUUUAUCAUGUUCCACUGGUUUUGUCAGUGUUUGUGAAAAUAUCGUUUUGUUUUUAUUACUAUAGGUUUAUGGUAACUCUGUUCUUCUUUGACAUUGGAAUUAGCUUUUCUUUCAUUCUUUCUUUUUUUUUAAUUUAUGUCAGGGAGAGAGAGAGAGCACAAGCACGGGGAGGGGCAGGCAGAGAGGGAAGCAGGCUCCCCGCUCAGCAGGGAGCCCGAUGCAGGAUUGUCCCAGGACUGUGGGAUCAUGACCUAAAUGGAAGGCAGAUGCUUAACCAACUGAGCCACCCAGGUGCCCUGGAAUUAGCUUUUCUUGUCCCUUUGCUGUUUCAUAUACAUUUUAGAAUCUGUUUCUUGAGGUCCAUGAAAAAUUUUGCCAGCAUUUGGGUUGAAAUUACAUUGAACAGAUUUAUUAACUUAGGGAGAAUUAACAUCCUUAUUACAUUCAAAUUUCGUGUGCGUGAAAUGGAAUUUCUCUGUUUAUUUAGGUCUCCUUUAAUACUGUUUAAU